rnacentral:rRNA from 1 species
GACGUAGGGCGCGAGCGUUGUCCGGAUUUAUUGGGCGUAAAGAGCUCGUAGGCGGCUUGUUGCGUCGACCGUGAAAACCCGCGGCUUAACUGCGGGCUUGCGGUUGAUACGGGCGGGCUGGAGUUCGGUAGGGGAGAUCGGAAUUCCUGGUGUAGCGGUGAAAUGCGCAGAUAUCAGGAGGAACACCGGUGGCGAAGGCGGAUCUCUGGGCCGAUACUGACGCUGAGGAGCGAAAGCGUGGGGAGCGAACAGG